rnacentral:rRNA from 1 species
UGGGCAACCUGCCCCUAGCUCUGGGAUAACUCCGGGAAACCGGGGCUAAUACCGGAUACGACCUCGAGCGGCAUCUCUUGAGGUGGAAAGUUUUUCGGCUAGGGAUGGGCCCGCGGCCUAUCAGCUUGUUGGUGG